rnacentral:rRNA from 1 species
CUACGGGAGGCAGCAGUUGGGAAUCUCGCACAAUGGGGGAAACCCUGAUGCAGCGACGCCGCGUGGAGGAUGACGGAUCUAGGUCUGUAAACUCCUUUUUCAUGGAAAGACUUAGGACGGUACCAUGAGAAUAAGGACCGGCUAACUACGUGCCAGCAGCCGCGGUAAGACGUAGGGUCCAAGCGUUGUCCGGAUUUACUGGGCGUAAAGAGCGCGUAGGCGGCUCGUUAAGUGUGGUGUGAAAUCUCCAGGGCUCAACCCGGAAACUGCACCGCAUACUGGCGAGCUUGAGGAAUGCAGAGGUAACUGGAAUUCCUGGUGUAGCGGUGAAAUGCGUUGAUAUCAGGAGGAACACCCAUGGCGAAGGCAGGUUACUGGGCAUUAUCUGACGCUGAGGCGCGAAAGCGUGGGUAGCAAACAGGAUUAGAUACCCUAGUAGUCC